rnacentral:rRNA from 1 species
UCAGGAUGAACGCUAGCUACAGGCUUAACACAUGCAAGUCGAGGGGUAGCAGGGUAGCAAUACCGCUGACGACCGGCGCACGGGUGAGUAACACGUAUCCAACCUUCCCAUAACUCAGGGAUAGCCUUUCGAAAGAAAGAUUAAUACCUGAUAGUACUUUUUCAAGGCAUCUUGAGAAAGUUAAAGAUUUAUUGGUUAUGGAUGGGGAUGCGUUCCAUUAGAUAGUUGGUGAGGUAACGGCUCACCAAGUCUUCGAUGGAUAGGGGUUCUGAGAGGAAGGUCCCCACAUUGGUACUGAGACACGGACCAAACUCCUACGGGAGGCAGCAGUGAGGAAUAUUGGUCAAUGGGCGAGAGCCUGAACCAGCCAAGUAGCGUGAAGGAUGAAGGUCCUAUGGAUUGUAAACUUCUUUUAUAGUAGAAUAAAGUGAUCCACGUGUGGAUUUUUGUAUGUAUACUAUGAAUAAGGAUCGGCUAACUCCGUGCCAGCCGCUGC